UACGGGGGGGGCAAGCGUUGUUCGGAAUUACUGGGCGUAAAGGGCUCGUAGGCGGCCAACUAAGUCAUACGUGAAAUCCCUCGGCUUAACCGGGGAACUGCGUCUGAUACUGGAUGGCUUGAGUUCGGGAGAGGGAUGCGGAAUUCCAGGUGUAGCGGUGAAAUGCGAGAUAUCUGGAGGAACACCGGUGGCGAAGGCGGGCAUCCGUGGGACCAGUA
rnacentral:rRNA from 1 species